GGCCCGCGGGCGACUCAUCUGGUCCUUACGGGCGACCUGGUACCCGCGGGCACCGCGUUGGUGACCCCUGGUUUAGAGAUUAGAGUCCUGUUCCGGUCUUGACAGUAUUGGAGUGUUGAAAUGACAAAACGAAAACCUGGAAAACGAUGGAGAAGAACUGGUAAAGAAGUCGACUCAAAUAAACGAUCAAUGACUGCACAAUUGUCAUUCCGUCCUGCAGCCACCAUGUGAAUGUGGAGACUGAUGAGCAAUGUCUAAGAGGUAGCAGCAGGGGAACACUGCAGGAGGCAGUGCCUCCUGAAAGAGCCAAAAACACUGCUCUUCAAAUGGAACACAUCCAACCUCCAGGUGUCCAUGCAGGAUGUACCACUCUAGAACAUCAAGCCUCUCCCUACCUGCCAGCACAUGGAAAUAUUUCUACUAUUGACUCUAUCAAAGACAAUGGAAAACCAUUUUCCAGAUCAGCCCUCAUAGAUCCUCCUGAUGGCCUAACAACUGAACUACAUGUUGAUGCUGAG